CAUUAGAUGUCUGAAAAGCAAGAACUGGUCUCUUAAACCAUUUAAUAGUAUAAGCAAAUACUUCUAAUGA
rnacentral:tRNA from 1 species